AAUGACUUAUUUGACUCUAAGAAUAAUUAUCAAGGGCUUAUUUGACUUUCAGAGUAAUUGUCAUUGUUAAUUUAAUUGAUCCAAUUAAAGUCCUAUGAAUCGAAAAUUUGCUUUUUACAAGCCUCCACUUGACAUUGUGAGUGCUCUGGUAAACGUAAAUCUAGCAUGCCUAGUGCCACUGGUGAUGCAGCGCCUGAAACUCUACUUCUACAUCUAGCACGAGUCAUGCCGAAAAGCAUUGAAUUCAGCACUGGGUAUGCUAAAUAGCAAUAAAAAUGCACAACACCCAUAUUUUCAAUUAUUUGUCUUUUAUUGAUGGAAUUAAGUUGCAGAUAGACGGAGUGAGAAAGCAGUAAAAAGUUUAGCUCUUAGGCUACUAACAAAAAUGGAUGUCAACUAAACGUCCAUCCAUCACGUGUAAGUCAUGUGAUAGAGAUUAGGCCUCUUUGACUCAAGUUUUCAGUGUUUUGACUCUAAGAAUAUUUGUCAGGAGCUUAAAUGGAUCAACUAAA
rnacentral:misc_RNA from 1 species